UACGGUCAUAUCACAUUGAAACAUUCGUUCCCGUACGAUCAACCAAGUUAAGCAACGUCGAGCCUUGUUAGUACCUGGACGGUUGACCACAUGGAACCUGUAAUCCGGUGCUGUA